GACGAACGCUGGCGGCGUGCUUAACACAUGCAAGUCGAACGGAAAGGCCCUGCUUUUGUGGGGUGCUCGAGUGGCGAACGGGUGAGUAACACGUGAGUAACCUGCCCUUGACUUUGGGAUAACUUCAGGAAACUGGGGCUAAUACCGGAUAGGAGCUCCUGCUGCAUGGUGGGGGUUGGAAAGUUUCGGCGGUUGGGGAUGGACUCGCGGCUUAUCAGCUUGUUGGUGGGGUAGUGGCUUACCAAGGCUUUGACGGGUAGCCGGCCUGAGAGGGUGACCGGGCACCAUGGGACUGAGAUACGGCGCAGACUCCUACGGGAGGCAGCGGGCGGAAGUAUUGCACAAUGGGCGGAAGCCUGAUGCAGCAACGCCGCGUGCGGGAUGACGGUCUUCGGGUUGUAAACAGCUUUCGCCUGUGACGAAGCGUGAGUGACGGUAAUGAGUAAAGAAGCACCGGCUAACUACGUG
rnacentral:rRNA from 1 species